rnacentral:piRNA from 1 species
UCAGUGGAGUCGACCCUGCAGGUGGGA